ACUGGAUAUAAUUUUUCCAGCUACUGUCUGUUCUGUUGCGCACUGUCACUGCCCUUUCCCUCUAGGAAAUCUCAUUUGCCAUGAUCGCUCUGAGCCAUCGAGUCUCGGCCGCUGCCGCCGUGCCGGUUGCGCCACUUUUAUAUCGUCUCCUCGCUGUCUGCCGAUUGUACACGACUGCUGGCGCAGCCCAACCGCAGCUCGACCCCGAUUACUACUACUACAACGACAACAGCAACUACCGUGAGCGAAGCCGCAAUCGGCUUGCCAAGGCUCCAAUGGCCGACUCCGAAAGCUCGGUUCCGAGAAGAGGAGUGCACUGGGCGUUCAUAGGAUAUCCGCGCAUCAAGAAGCGCAUGUACGUUGAGAGACUCUCUGAGCUCCUAGAAGUCCCCUACAUUUCUAUGGCUAGUCUCGUUCGUCAAGAACUGAACCCAGGCACCUCUCUCUACAAACAGGUCUUAAUUUCAUGUUUGAUUUCUCUGUUUCUUGGAAUUGUUUUUGGUAUUCCCUUGUAGCGCUUGGAAAUUUCGUAGGAAUUAAUUUUGAAACUAUUCGCUAGGGUUCUCUUUGGAUUGUUUUGUUGAUGAUCUUUGCCUGUAAAGAAUCAAGCUCACCUUAUUUUGUACUUUCAAGGAACCCAACUGAUACCAAGGUUUUUCUGAUCACUAAAAUUGAGAAAUGUUAGGCCACAGUAAACGACAUUUUGUCAGUUGAACCUUUUAUGUUGUGAAAAUGAUUGCAAAUUAGAAUGAUGCUAUUGUGUGGAAAAUUGGCAAUGCAGAGGUUAAAGUUUUAUGUACUGUACUUGACAAUGACAAUUACUAGAAAUGGCCCUGCUGAAGAUUGAUAUACUCUAUUUGGAUAAUCUUUGAUUAUUACAAGUGAAUGAAGCUACUUAUUUUAAAGGUUUCUCUUGUCCUAGCUGCUUCUUAUCUACCACUAUUGUUUAUUCGACUUAUAUGGAAAUAUUGCUAUAGGUCACUCACUCCUUGUCUUCAAUUUAAUUAGAUUGCAAAUGCUGUAAAUCGUGGUAAACUUGUUCCAGAGGAUAUAAUUUUUGGCUUGCUGUCUAAGAGGUUAGAAGAUGGGUAUUACAGAGGUGAAACUGGUUUUAUUUUGGAUGGAAUUCCUCGUUCAAAGUUACAAGCUGUAAGUCUUUUUGGCAAUUUCAUGUACAUGUCAUCAAUUGAAUGCUCUUUAUUCAAAGAUGCCUAACAAGUGUCCUGUUCAUGGAGAUUUAUUAUGUUGUCCAAGAGGAUAUGUAGUAAUCCUUAUUGUGUCUUCUCUUCUUGCCUAGUUUUUGUGUUUAGUAGGGAUGCUUUUUAAUUACAAAUCUGCUACUGCUAGAAAUGCUAGAUACUGAUCUAUCUGCGUUCUUUUCAUUUUCUUUUAAAUCUAUGUAGGAGAUUCUUGAUGAACUUGCAAAGAUUGAUUUGGUUGUGAAUUUUAAAUGCACCGAUGAUUUCUUGAUAAAGAACCAAGAAGGUAGUAUUUCUGUUCUUUGUUAUGAAUUGUGUGAACUGGACAAUUCCUGUGGUACAAGUCCUGAUAUUACCUCACAUCAGAGUCAACUGAAAUAUUCCACUAUCAUUGCAGAAGGUGCCUGGAAAGAUAAGCUCCAAGCCUAUAUUGAGCAGGUGAACAGUAAACCUUUUGCUUGUGUCUUCUUAAGUUACAGCAUUAACUUUCAAUAUAUUUGCUAAUUUCCAGCAUGGUGUGGUUAUGUCUUUUGCACAUAUUUUUUUCUCUCCUCUUUUUUGGUCCAGUCUUAUCUUUGCACAGCCUUGCCCUUUUAUUCCAGCUACCCCCAACUCUACAAGAAAAGAUAAUGUUAGACAUUUUGCAACUUUUCAUCAAUGAAUUGUGAGCGGCUGAUUUAGACUUGCAUGUUUGUUGUAAUUGACACCUUUUAUUUCUUUUCUACCAAAUAAUUUCCUUGUGUAUGACGUUAUCGUUGCUACCAACUACAAUAAAUGUGAAGAAUGACUAAUCUGUCUGCCUUGGUUCUUUUCUUUUUAUCUUCCCCAUAAGAUCUCAGAUCUAACUUCUGAACCAAUAUUGUCGUAUGGAUCAAUGUGAUAAAUCAGAAUGACUAGCUUUUAUGUGGCAUGGAAAGAUGGAGCACAAAGUCAAAAACAUCCUUUAGUCAGUGAAGUUUUUUUUGAAUUUUUCUGUUUGUUUCCUCUGUUCAUCUUGUAUGGGCAGAAAUUUUCAGGUGCACAAACUUCUGUAUUAUGGUCCAUGCCCUUGCUUCCUUAAGUGGCUUGUAUAAUCCAUUAAGACUUGGGAGAGAAAUAUAUCGGCUAAAUGAGUUAAAAUUAUGUUAUUUAUUUGAUAGCAAGGAGGAGAGAAAGGAAA
rnacentral:misc_RNA from 1 species